rnacentral:rRNA from 1 species
GACGAACGCUGGCGGCGUGCUUAACACAUGCAAGUCGAACGGAAAGGCCCUGCUUGCAGGGUACUCGAGUGGCGAACGGGUGAGUAACACGUGGGUGAUCUGCCCUGCACUUCGGGAUAAGCCUGGGAAACUGGGUCUAAUACCGGAUAGGAGCCAUUUUUCGUGUGGUGGUUGGAAAGUUUUUUCGGUGUAGGAUGAGCUCGCGGCCUAUCAGCUUGUUGGUGGGGUAAUGGCCUACCAAGGCGGCGACGGGUAGCCGGCCUGAGAGGGUGGACGGCCACAUUGGGACUGAGAUACGGCCCAGACUCCUACGGGAGGCAGCAGUGGGGAAUAUUGCACAAUGGGCGCAAGCCUGAUGCAGCGACGCCGCGUGGGGGAUGACGGCCUUCGGGUUGUAAACUCCUUUCGCUAGGGACGAAGCUUUUUGUGACGGUACCUAGAUAAGAAGCACCGGCUAACUACGUG